UCUCAGAUCACGUUGUGCAGAGAGAACACAGGGUGAUUUUAUGCUGCACUACGUCCACAGACGACUGGUUUCUCUUGACGUCAGGAGAAAGUCUGAGCGCUGCGCACAAGCUCAGCAUCCACAUCGCUCCCACAGGGAAGGAGACGCGCAUCGCAGCUGCAGAUCGCCAUUUAGCUGUAGUGUGGCGAAUCCGAUCAGCGUUGUAGAAUGCCUCUUGGAGAGGAUGGAAAUGGAUGGAAGAAGAAGACAUCAGACAUCAAAGAACACUAUGACUUCAAAGAAGUACUGGGAACCGGAGCUUUCUCCGAGGUGGUUCUAGCAGAGGAGAAGAGGACCCAGCGGCUGGUGGCCAUCAAGUGCAUCCCCAAGAAAGCACUGGAGGGCAAAGAGAACAACAUCGAGAAUGAGAUCGCAGUACUACAUAGAAUCAAGCACCCCAACAUCGUGUCGCUGGAGGACAUCUUUGAAAGUACAUCUCACCUAUAUCUUGUCAUGCAGCUGGUCUCUGGAGGCGAGUUGUUUGACAGGAUCGUGGAGAAAGGGUUCUACACUGAGAGAGAUGCCAGCCAGCUCAUCCACCAGAUCUUAGAUGCCGUUAAAUAUCUCCAUGAUAUGGGAAUCGUCCACAGAGACUUGAAGCCGGAGAACCUGCUCUAUUACAGCAUGGACGAAGACUCCAAGAUUAUGAUCAGCGACUUCGGCCUGUCAAAGAUCGAGGGAGCGGGCAGCGUCAUGUCCACAGCCUGUGGCACUCCAGGAUAUGUGGCUCCAGAGGUGCUCGCUCAGAAGCCGUACAGCAAAGCAGUAGAUUGCUGGUCCAUAGGAGUUAUUUCUUAUAUCCUAUUAUGUGGAUAUCCUCCAUUUUACGAUGAAAAUGACGCAAAGUUAUUUGAGCAGAUUCUGAAAGCAGAGUAUGAGUUUGAUUCUCCGUACUGGGACGACAUCUCAGAUUCAGCCAAAGACUUCAUCUGUCACUUGAUGGAGAAAGACCCUUUGAAGAGAUAUACUUGUGAGCAGGCACUCCAACAUCCAUGGAUCUGUGGAGACACAGCUCUGGACAAGAAUAUCCAUGAAUCUGUCAGUGCUCAGAUCAAGAAGAACUUUGCUAAGAGCAAAUGGAAGCAAGCGUUUAAUGCCACAGCGGUGGUGCGCCACAUGCGGAAGUUGCAGCUGGGCACAAGUCUUGAGGGACCCAGUCAGAUAACGCCCACCAGUCCCUGCCAUGGACAUCUGCUCCCAGAGGAAGAGGAGGAGGAGGAGGAGGAUUUGGGGAAUGGAGAGGAAGAGAGCUGUGAGUUAUCAGUUCACAGUGAAUAAACAAACACUCGCUUUGAAUCAGAUGUGACUCAAGUAACUAACAGGGAACAUGGAUGGAUGAAUAGAAAGAUGCAUUGAUGCAGAUGGUGUCCCACUACGAGGACGGCCGUCGUGGAAGCAACGAGGGUAGCACAGAUCGGGACAGCCUGAGGAGCUGCACCUACUGCUGCAGGCCAGCCAGUCGCGUUUGAGCACAACCUUCCAUCGCCAUGCUGACAUUGUAAUCCCCGGAGCGCCCAGAGCCCGCCCGCCUGCCCAGUCUGGCCAGGAAUGCAGAGUAGUUAUCAGGCUGUGUCCCACCAGAGUAGGCCCACAGCUAGCAGGCCUCUGUUAUGAUGAAGAGAAACACAUUAUAAGUCUUUGUCCCCCAAAAAGGUUCUCGAGGCUGCUCCAAAAGGACAGAGUUAGUUUUUCUUAAAAGGGCCUGCCUGCAUGAUCCUGAAAUAACCCCCCUUUCAUAGCAACCUAACAUGUAGUUGUCCUUUGCGUAGCCAGAGCAGACAGUGGUCACUCGGCAACAUGUACAUCACAACCGGUCCCUCUGGAUGUUACCAUCAGGAAGCAUCAAAACCUCUGGAGUCCUAAUCAAAGAUGAGGCAGUGGCCCAAAGGAAGUCACCUCCAUUAUUUAUGUCCUGGCAUUAUCUGUCACGUCUACCUCUGAUCACAAUUACUGCACGCCUACAUCCAUCCGGCCCACACACACGUACACACACACACAC